GUUAACGUAACCAAUCUAUAACAACCUGUCAAAAAAAAAAAAUCUCGAAGCAUCCUCGCCAUAAUACUCUCGGGCUCCAUAGCUUGAAGCCUCACACCAUCGUCAAUAACCACCACUCCCCAUAAUCCAAAUUCUCCCCAUAAUCUAAAUUUUUCCAUCACAAUUCCAAUUAAAUUUCCCACAUUUCUCAAUUGAAAAACUGAAAUUUGUGAUUCAGCUUCGUCAAUUCUUUUUGCUAUAAUCGAUCUUAGGGCUCUCACAUUGUUCGUCGAUUUUAGGUUUGAUAAAAGAAUCACAGCAUUUGCGGAGGAGAAGCUCCACAGGGAUGGUAUCAACCUGCAAACUGGGGCAAUGGUUGUGAAAGUGAAUGACAAAGAAAUAUCAACCAGAGCACACAAGAAUGGUGGGCAAAUAUCCUCCAUGUCAUAUGGAAUGCUAGUCUCGUCUACCGACAUUCGACCUCGUCCAACGAUAACACAAUUCAUGAAGCAAAUUGGUCAAUACUUUCUUGGGAUUUCUAGCACUUAUUCGCAAGAGAUGAUUGACGAGCUAAAGAUACGUGGGUGAAAUAUUUAAACAAUCAAGCACGAGACGGUGGAGAUUGAAGACAAUGGUCAAGUUUCAAUUGUACAUAUUAUUUGCUCAAGUUAGAAUUUUAAUUUUCGUAGAUAUCAUUAGAUUAUAGAAAUUUUAUUUUUAAGACAUUAAUUAUUGGAAUAAAUUGAUGCUUUGACUACUGAAA